GUGGUGUGAACUAAGGUAAUUUAUUUUUUAUAUAAAUUGCUUGUUAUCAGACAUAAUCUACUCUCAGUUGACUAUUUUGUCAAUAAUUAUAUGCGAAGUCUACCGGAAGUUUAAAAGUAGUUCGGAUCACAAAAGCCUGUUUAUGGCCGUUUCUGCCUGCAGCCUUCGGAGGCCGCAUUUGUUAGUGUUUGGAGUCGUAUUUGUAAGCUGCAUACGUCAUUAUGACUGUCUUAUUAUAAAGUUGACUAUUAUUAACUGUAAACUGUUGUAAUAUGCUUAUGACUUGCGAACGUAAUGCUCAGUUAACUUAAAUAAACAAGGCUUGAUGACGUAUACAGCCUGCAUAUGCGACCUCCGCAGGCUGCAACCUUCGGAUUGAGAAACGGCCUAUGUUGUUGCUGAAACGAAACCAUCCCGUUAGCACACUUGUAAUUCCGGAGCCAGGAUCAUUUUGAAAAACAAACACCUGGUUGGGUUAUUUUGACCCAGCAAUUGGUUUAUUAAUUGCCGCACUUUCUGGAUUCUUCGCUUCUGACUGGAUCACGCUACUCGGACCAGGCGGUAUUUCAUGAGUUCAGUAGAAUCCACUGAAUUGACCCCAACAGAUCAUAUCACCAUGACAGUGGAACUUUUUUCAGCCUUUGCAGUUUGUCAGAUUUUGGAAAGCACCCCUGAGAGGAAAUCCGUAUUAAACCGUUAAAGUGCAAGCAAUUACCAACAAGCAGAGAAGGCUACUUGUGAGACUCCUUGCAUCCCAUCUGCUGGAAACCAAUGGUGAAACCUGAGCCAUCAUCAGACACUAAGAAGGCAUGUGACAAGGCAUUGGUGUAUGAAUUUCCUUGCCUGAAGGAUAUACAGCUGCUAAAGGGGAAACAGCACUGAAGAUGCCAACUCUGCUAGCUCCAUCUAUUUACAGGGGAGGAGGAGAAGUCUUCAGACCUACCACUGUGGAGGCCCAGAGGUCCUUUAUUGACAUGCAACCUGUGGGGACCAACAUGGUGGAAUAUCUGCAAAAUCAGAGAUGUUGCACGUUUUGUGACUUGGGGACGAGCCAAGAAGGACCUGCCAGACCUUUGCCAUUGUUGGAGGCAAUGCCUCUGAGACAAACUCUUUGGUGAAGGAUGUUGAUAAGUUUUUUUUUGUCUUUGAUGUUAACUACACAAAGCAAUAGGUGUGUUCGACUUCAUGCAGCGCUGCGCAGACCGAUCGGCGGCUGACUUGAAGCAGUGCAUUUUGGUUAGUACUUUUGUCCGACUUCAGCUGGCGCUGCAGGCACGUGACUGUGUCAUAUGGUUUUUAAGCACCGCGAGAGCGUUUCGAGAGUAGCCAGCUGGUUCAGCCGGUGCAGCUUCUCCAGAGCGGCUGCCCGGAGUUGUGAUGACGUAACAGCUUUACUUGAUUGGUCGCUUCAUUGAUGACAACGAUCACGUGCGUUUCAAGUUUAAUCCAACCUUUAGUUUCACUAAUAAACAUUAUAAAUUCAUGUUUUAAAACAGGAAAAAAACACUUUAAUAUCCUAAAAUAUGUUAUAUUGUGUCGUGUAAUAAAAUAAAAAUGAAAAUAACAAACUCUAUUGGUAUUUUAAUAAUAUAGGCUUGUUUCCCGUUAUUUUCGGGUAUACAGUUUAAGCAGCAAUUAAAAUAUUCGAUAUAAAAUGUUUCUGGUUGCAACUUUUUAUCAAAAGGUUUGUUUUUAUCAAAUUCAGCAUCUAAUUCACUUAAUUUGCGAUUAUAAACAAGGAAACACGGCGCACACGUCACUACGGCAAGCAGCAGGUGUCCGGCUUGACGGCUCCGUCUUCAGUUCCUCCCUCGACUGCAAGCGGCAAACCUCGUCGAUCGGUCUGCGCAGCGCCGGAUGAUCUCGAACACACCUAUUGUCUUCCCACCUGGGAGUUUCACCAGGAUGCCAUUUAUCAGAUUGAUGGACAUCAGUCCUCCUCUGUUAACAUUUUGAGGACAACAUUUAAUCACUAAUAAUUAACUAUUUCAGUGCUAUGUUUGAAAGAUUCGCCCACAAUGCAAUGCCAACAAUGCAAGUUUACUUACAGGCUGUGAGGUCAAGUGGGAGGAAUUAUGAUAAUUUCGGUCUUGUCUACGUCACCAAUACCAGGAAGUAAACUGUUGCCUACAAUCUGUGUUUGUUGUAGUCCAAGAAAAGAGAUCACUCGCAUUAUCGUUUACUUUGGGGUUUGUACCUUUUGCAUAUCGUUAACAUGAAUUAAUACACAAUUACACACCAAAGGAAAUGUAAAAAUGUGAAUCGGACCAUAGCUGCUCUUUAAAAAAAAAUUUGUUUCAGGGCUUCUUGUUUUUAAUAACAUUUUGAUGAAUGAAAAUGUAAAGUAAAUGAAAUGCUUAUCAUCAUAGUUUAAAUAUUAAGAGUUAUAAAGUCCGUGGGGAUUGUUUGAUGUCAUAUGGGGGUUGUAACUUUUGUAUUAUACAAAUAUACAAAAAUGUAAUUAAAACAUUGUAUUAAAUGUGAAAAAAAUUAAAUGCAAUUUAAAUCACA